UUUCCCACAAUAAGAGAUGAGGUGUAAAGGUGUCGCGUGUUCGGCGGCUCUGCAGCCUAAUUACUAUUGAGUGAGUACUCAUGGAAGGUGGAAAGCCUGUAUGGCUGCUGGCGCCUGCUAGUAACUUGCGACACUGAAGAGUCUAGUUGUUUGAGAGUACAACUUAAAGCUGGUGGUAAAUUUCAUCAAAGGCUAAAUAUCCGAAGGGACUAAUAGCGAACAAGUACCAUGAGGGAAAGUUGAAAAGAACUCUGAAGAGAGGGUUAAAUAGUACGUGAAACCAUAUUGAGUAAAACAGAUAACUGUGUCGUUAUGCGGCGCGUCCUGUCAACAGCGGUUGCGGUGCGGCUUUUCUGUUCGUGCAGCUGCUUGCAUUUCCGCAGUGUCUGCCACGUGCGGUUGGCCAGCCGACGCCUCUGUGCACUAGUGCGCGCCCGCUCGUUGAGAAAUCAUGCAAAAACAGGAUCGGCGCGCCUCAGUCCGCACCUAGUGCGCUGUCGCGCGUUGGCCUCGUGUUGCGUGAUUUCGCUGCGUGGCAGCUGUGAGUCUCGUUUGCCGCGUGGCUGUCGNCGGUUCGCCAGUGGCGGGUCGCAGGGUGGUCUCCGCUCUGCACUGCCAGCAGGUGGCCGGCGCGGUCGCGGGUAGCGGCUCUGAAUCAACGUAAAUUGACAUUAGUUAUUUGACCCGUCUUGAAACACGGACCAAGGAGUUCAAAUGGCACGCGAGUCAUUGGGUUUAGCCACCCGAAGGCGAAGUGAAAUGCGAAUCAGUUGCGAACUGCUUCCCGCAGUUAAGCGACGGGCUACUCAUGCUAUCUGGCAUUUGUAGACUAAAAGCGUGAUGUUUGAGACCCGAAAGAUGGUGACCUAUGCCUAGUCAAGAUGAAGCCAGAGGAAACUCUGGUGGAGGUCUGAAGUUGUUCUGACGUGCAAAUCGAUAAUCUGAUCUGGGUAUAGGGGCGAAAGACUAAUCGAACCAUCUAGUAGCUGGUUCCUUCCGAAGUUUCCCUCAGGAUAGCAAGCGUACGCGAUUUAGUUUCAUCCAGUAAAGCGAAUGAUUAGAGGCAUUGGGGCAUAUAUAGCCUCAACCUAUUCUCAAACUUUUAAUGGGUGUGAGCGUUCUUUCUUGACUGAAGACCGCUGCUAAAUAAGUAUGCUUAGUGGGCCAUUUUUGGUAAGCAGAACUGGCGCUGUGGGUUGAACCAAUUGUUGAGUUAAAGUGCCUAAAGCUUGAAUGCGCAUGAGAUCUGUAAAGGGUGUUAGUGCUGAAGACAGCAGG
rnacentral:rRNA from 1 species